UUGAGCAAUGACGGGAGAGGGAAUAUCAGGGAAGCCUCCAUGUGCACAUUGGGCUUAGUCGAUUUCAUCCUAUAAUCAGUUUUAUCUACGAUAAACCCUAAAAAUCUUUCAAUCUCUUCAUCUUCAGAUUGUUUUCAUUCGUUUGAUUUUGCUGUUUCUCUCCAAUUCGACUAUGGUUGCUUCCACGGCUAACGGCGACGAUGGAUUGAAGAAAUUGGAGUACUUAUCCCUUGUCUCCAAGGUAUGUUCUGAGCUUGAAACUCAUUUAGGUUUCGGAGAUAAAGUUCUUGCUGAGUUCAUAACGGAGAUGGGACGGAGCUGUGAGACGGUGGAUGAGUUCGAUGUCAAAUUGAAAGAGAAUGGCGCGGAAAUGCCUGAUUACUUUGUUCGCUCGCUUCUGAGGAUCAUUCACCUUAUUCUUCCUCCGCAGAAGAACAACGAAAAGGAGUUGAAGAAGGAUAAGGAAUCAGAUGGGAAGAAGAGCAAGUUUCGGGCCUUGGUGAUCGAUGAUGAUCGGGAGAGAGCGAAGGAGCUGGAGAAGGAAAUUGAGUUGGAGCUUCGCCAGAAGCGUGGGGACAGAGAUGAAGAAGAUGAUCGAUACAAGGGGAGGGCCGGGGACAGAGGAAAAGACAGAGAGAGGGACAGAGACAGAGACAGAGACAGAGGUAGGGAUAGGGAUAGAGAUAGAGAUAGGGAUAGGGAUAGGGAUAGGGAUAGGGAUAGGGAUAGUUACCGGGAUCGGGAUCGGGAUAGAGAUAGGCGCAGGGAUAGAUAUGAAAGGGAUGAGAGACAUGGUGGGAGGGAUCGCGACGAUGAUGGUGAUGAUGAUCACCGGAGAAGCGGAAGGCAAAGGGAUCGGAAUAGGAAAAAUGGAUAUGAAGAAGAUGAGCGUUAUGGGGGUGAUGCAGAAGCUGGUAAUGGCAAUUGGAGAGGUGAUAGGGACAAGCAUACACAAAAUGGGCGACACCACCCUGUCGACCAAGAACCUGAAUUGUACAAGGUCUACAAGGGUAGAGUUUCCAGAGUGAUGGACACGGGUUGCUUUGUCCAACUGAGCGAUUUUAGAGGUAAGGAGGGUCUGGUUCAUGUUUCUCAGAUUGCCACCCGAAGGAUUAGCAAUGCCAAGGAUAUUGUAAAGCGUGAUCAAGAGGUUUAUGUCAAGGUCAUUUUAUUUUCAGGGCAAAAGUUGAGCCUUUCUAUGAGGGAUGUCGAUCAGCAUUCUGGCAAGGAUUUACUUCCGUUAACGAAGAAAAAAGAUGCCGACGAUGGUCCUAGAAUGAAUCCUUCAGAUUCAAAGGAUGAUGGGCCGGUGGUUAGGACUGGCCUUUCGGGGAUUAAAAUUGUGGAAGAUGAUGUUACUGUCCCUUCACGCAGACCUUUGAAGCGCAUGAGCUCACCUGAGAGAUGGGAAGCCAAGCAGCUGAUGGCUUCUGGGGUUUUAAGUGUAAGCGAGUAUCCUUCUUAUGAUGACGAGGGAGACGGGUUAUUAUACCUAGAAGAGGGUGCUGCUGAAGAAGAGCUUGAGAUUGAGUUGAAUGAGGACGAGCCUGAAUUUCUGCAAGGCCAGAGCAGAUACUCAAUUGAUAUGUCGCCAGUUAAGAUCUUUAAAAAUCCGGAAGGGUCACUGAGUCGAGCAGCUGCACUUCAAUCUGCACUCAUUAAGGAGCGUAGAGAAGUUCGUGAGCAGCAGCAGAGGACCAUGCUCGAUUCAAUUCCAAAGGAUCUUAAUCGACCUUGGGAAGACCCUAUGCCAGAGACUGGUGAGAGACAUCUUGCACAGGAGCUCAGGGGUGUUGGCUUGUCGGCCUAUGAUAUGCCAGAGUGGAAGAAGGAUGCCUAUGGAAAAGAUAUCAGUUUUGGGCAGAAGUCAAAGCUCUCUAUCCAGGAACAGAGGCAGAGCUUACCCAUUUACAAGCUGAAGAAAGAACUUAUUCAGGCUGUUCAUGAUAAUCAGGUUCUUGUUGUCAUUGGCGAGACUGGUUCAGGUAAGACAACACAAGUAACUCAGUAUCUUGCUGAAGCUGGGUACACAACAUCUGGUAAAAUUGGAUGUACUCAACCACGUAGGGUGGCUGCAAUGUCCGUCGCAAAGAGGGUUGCUGAAGAGUUUGGAUGUCGCUUAGGAGAGGAAGUUGGAUAUGCUAUUCGUUUCGAGGAUUGUACAGGACCUGAUACCGUGAUCAAGUAUAUGACUGAUGGUAUGCUUCUUAGGGAGAUUUUGAUUGAUGAUAAUUUGUCUCAGUACUCCGUAAUUAUGCUUGAUGAAGCUCACGAGAGAACGAUCUUCACUGAUGUUCUUUUUGGGUUGCUGAAGAAACUUGUGAAAAGGAGACCCGAUCUUCGUCUAAUCGUCACAUCCGCUACUUUAGAUGCUGAAAAAUUUUCAGGAUAUUUCUUCAAUUGUAAUAUUUUUACAAUUCCUGGGAGAACUUUCCCUGUGGAGAUCCUCUAUACCAAGCAGCCAGAAACUGAUUAUCUUGAUGCUGCCUUAAUCACUGUCUUGCAGAUCCACUUGACAGAACCUGAAGGAGACGUACUUCUUUUUUUGACUGGUCAGGAGGAGAUUGAUUUUGCAUGUCAGUCGCUCUACGAGAGAAUGAAAGGACUUGGUAAAAACGUUCCCGAGUUAAUUAUUCUACCAGUCUACAGUGCCUUACCCAGUGAAAUGCAGUCCAGGAUAUUUGAACCGGCUCCUCCGGGUAAAAGGAAAGUUGUAGUGGCUACGAACAUUGCUGAGGCCUCGUUGACAAUAGAUGGAAUUUUUUAUGUUAUUGAUCCUGGAUUCGCUAAACAGAAUGUAUAUAACCCAAAGCAAGGGCUUGAUUCUCUUGUCAUUACACCAAUCUCACAAGCAUCAGCCAAACAGCGUGCAGGUCGUGCAGGGCGAACAGGACCUGGAAAAUGCUACCGCCUCUAUACUGAGAGUGCUUAUCGCAAUGAGAUGUCUCCUACAUCAAUACCAGAAAUCCAGAGGAUUAAUCUUGGUCAUACUACUCUUACAAUGAAAGCAAUGGGGAUAAAUGAUCUUCUGUCAUUUGAUUUUAUGGAUCCACCUUCACCCCAAGCUCUAAUUUCAGCAAUGGAACAACUUUACAGUCUAGGAGCACUUGACGAAGAAGGACUUCUGACUAAGUUGGGUAGAAAAAUGGCCGAGUUUCCGUUAGAUCCACCUUUGUCUAAAAUGCUGCUAGCUAGUGUGGAUCUUGGAUGCAGUGAUGAGAUCUUGACAAUAAUUGCUAUGAUUCAGACUGGAAAUAUCUUUUACAGGCCAAGGGAAAAACAAGCCCAGGCUGAUCAGAAAAGGGCCAAAUUUUUCCAGCCAGAGGGAGAUCAUCUGACGUUGCUUGCAGUUUAUGAGGCAUGGAAAGCCAAAAACUUUUCAGGCCCCUGGUGUUUUGAGAACUUUGUUCAAUCUCGGUCCUUGAGGAGAGCGCAGGAUGUGAGGAAACAACUUCUUUCGAUUAUGGACAAGUAUAAAUUGGACGUAGUGAGUGCAGGCAAGAAUUUCACUCAGAUAAGGAAGGCCAUCACAGCCGGAUUCUUUUUCCAUGCAGCCAGAAAGGAUCCUCAAGAGGGUUAUCGGACUCUAGUCGAGAACCAACCAGUUUAUAUCCAUCCGAGCAGUGCAUUAUUCCAAAGACAGCCCGACUGGGUCAUAUACCACGAGCUGGUCAUGACGACAAAAGAAUACAUGCGCGAAGUAACAGUCAUAGAUCCCAAAUGGCUCGUUGAAUUAGCUCCAAGAUACUUCAAAGUUGCAGAUCCAACAAAGAUGAGCAAGCGAAAGAGGCAAGAGCGUAUCGAACCGCUCUACGACAGAUAUCACGAACCUAACUCUUGGAGAUUGAGUAAGAGACGAGCUUAAUUAACAUGGUUCGUUCUAUGCCAUAUUUGACUGACUUUGUAUAUAGAAAUCCUGUUGUGUAAGAAGCUGUUGAGGGUAAAAAGGGGCAUUAGAAGAUGGCUUCCCAUUACUGGGAGAGGUCUUUUAGCUGUAGUUAGAGGUAAUUAAAGAGAGAGUGGGAGAGGGAACUUGGGUGUCAAAUCUUCCGCUAUCACUGAAGCGUUGAGUUUUAUUAAUUUCAUCAUUCUUUUGCCCCCAUGCAAGAAA